UACGAAGGGGGCUAGCGUUGCUCGGAAUGACUGGGCGUAAAGGGCGCGUAGGCGGUUUGUACAGUCAGGUGUGAAAUUCCCGGGCUCAACCUGGGGGCUGCACUUGAUACGUAGGAACUUGAGUGGGGAAGAGGGUCGUGGAAUUCCCAGUGUAGAGGUGAAAUUCGUAGAUAUCGGGAGGAACACCAGUGGCGAAGGCGGCGACCUGGGCCAAUAUUGACGCUGAGGUGCGAAAGCGUGGGGAGCAAACAGG
rnacentral:rRNA from 1 species